GUCCUCUUAGUAAAAUGGAUAUAACGAGCCCCUCCUAAGGGCUAAUUGCAGGUUCGAUUCCUGCAGGGGACACCA
rnacentral:tRNA from 1 species